GCCGUUGGAGGACUUCCGGACCUCCGAUUCCAAUUCCGUAAGAAGCUACGUUUUCGGAAAAUCACUACCCAUCCAAUUACAGAUUCAAUUUCAGUUUUAACACAACUUAUCCAACACAAUUUUUCAGCAUUCAACAUCCCAAUUAGGGUCAAAUCAACGGUUCAUCACUACCCAUUACAUGUUAACCCAUAAUACCCAUUAAACGAC
rnacentral:lncRNA from 1 species